CAUUAGCUAGUUGGUGAGGUAACGGCUCACCAAGGCGACGAUGCGUAGCCGACCUGAGAGGGUGAUCGGCCACACUGGGACUGAGACACGGCCCAGACUCCUACGGGAGGCAGCAGUAGGGAAUCUUCCGCAAUGGACGAAAGUCUGACGGAGCAACGCCGCGUGAGUGAUGAAGGUUUUCGGAUCGUAAAGCUCUGUUGUUAGGGAAGAACAAGUGCCGUUCAAAUAGGGCGGCACCUUGACGGUACCUAACCAGAAAGCCACGGCUAACUACGUGCCAGCAGCCGCGGUAAUACGUAGGUGGCAAGCGUUGUCCGGAAUUAUUGGGCGUAAAGGGCUCGCAGGCGGUUUCUUAAGUCUGAUGUGAAAGCCCCCGGCUCAACCGGGGAGGGUCAUUGGAAACUGGGGAACUUGAGUGCAGAAGAGGAGAGUGGAAUUCCACGUGUAGCGGUGAAAUGCGUAGAGAUGUGGAGGAACACCAGUGGCGAAGGCGACUCUCUGGUCUGUAACUGACGCUGAGGAGCGAAAGCGUGGGGAGCGAACAGGAUUAGAUACCCUGGUAGUCCACGCCGUAA
rnacentral:rRNA from 1 species